rnacentral:rRNA from 1 species
UACGUAGGGUGCAAGCGUUAUCCGGAAUUAUUGGGCGUAAAGAGCUCGUAGGCGGUUUGUCGCGUCUGCUGUGAAAACUGGAGGCUCAACCUCCAGCCUGCAGUGGGUACGGGCAAACUAGAGUGCGGUAGGGGAGACUGGAAUUCCUGGUGUAGCGGUGAAAUGCGCAGAUAUCAGGAGGAACACCGGUGGCGAAGGCGGGUCUCUGGGCCGAUACUGACGCUGAGGACGAAAGCUGGGGAGC